GAUGAAGAACGCAGCGAAAUGCGAUAACUAAUGUGAAUUGCAGAAUUCAGUGAAUCAUCGAGUCUUUGAACGCACAUUGCGCCCCCUGGUAUUCCGGGGGGCAUUCCUGUCCGAGCGUCAUUGCUGCCCUCAAGCACGGCUUGUGUGUUGGGCUCCGUCCCCCCGGGGACGGGCCCGAAAGGCAGCGGCGGCACCGAGUCCGGUCCUCGAGCGUAUGGGGCUUUGUCACCCGCUCUGUAGGCCCGGCCGGCGCCAGCCGACAACCCAUCAUCCUUUUCAGGUUGACCUCGGAUCAGGUAGGGAUACCCGCUGAACUUAAGCAUAUCAAUAAGCGGAGGA
rnacentral:misc_RNA from 1 species